GACGUAGGGCGCGAGCGUUGUCCGGAUUUAUUGGGCGUAAAGAGCUCGUAGGCGGUGUGUCACGUCGGCCGUGAAAACCUGCAGCUUAACUGUGGGCGUGCGGUCGAUACGGGCAUCACUGGAGUUCGGCAGGGGAGACUGGAAUUCCUGGUGUAGCGGUGAAAUGCGCGAGAUAUCGAGGAGGAACCACCGGUGGCGGAAGGCGG
rnacentral:rRNA from 1 species